GAUGAACGCUGGCGGCGUGCCUAAUACAUGCAAGUCGAGCGAACGGACGAGAAGCUUGCUUCUCUGAUGUUCGCGGCGGACGGGUGAGUAACACGUGGAUAACCUACCUAUAAGACUGGGAUAACUUCGGGAAACCGUAGCUAAUACCGGAUAAUAUUUUGAACCGCAUGGUUCAAAAGUGACAGACGGUCUUGCUGUCACUUAUAGAUGGAUCCGCGCUGCAUUAGCUAGUUGGCAAGGUAACGGCUUACCAAGGCAACGAUGCAUAGCCGACCUGAGAGGGUGAUCGGCCACACUGGAACUGAGACACGGUCCAGACUCCUACGGGAGGCAGCAGUAGGGAAUCUUCCGCAAUGGGCGGAAGCCUGACGGAGCAACGCCGCGUGAGUGAUGAAGGUCUUCGGAUCGUAAAACUCUGUUAUUAGGGAAGAACAUAUGUGUAAGUAACUGUGCACAUCUUGACGGUACCUAAUCAGAAAGCCACGGCUAACUACGUG
rnacentral:rRNA from 1 species